UACGAAGGGGGCUAGCGUUGUUCGGAAUCACUGGGCGUAAAGGGUGCGCAGGCGGGUCCAUCAGUCAGGGGUGAAAUCCUGAGGCUCAACCUCGGAACGGCCUUUGAUACUGUGGAUCUUGAGUCCGGAAGAGGUGAGUGGAACUGCGAGUGUAGAGGUGAAAUUCGUAGAUAUUCGCAAGAACACCGGUGGCGAAGGCGGCUCACUGGUCCGGAACUGACGCUGAGGCACGACAGCGUGGGGAGCAAACAGG
rnacentral:rRNA from 1 species